rnacentral:pre_miRNA from 1 species
CAAGUACUCCCUCCGUCCGGAAUUACUUGUCAUCAAAAUGGAUGUGUCUAGAACUAAAAUACAUCUAGAUACAUCCAUUUCAAUGACAAGUAUUUUUGGGCGGAGGGAGUAGAAC